UCAAAUCCCAACUAUAGCACGACCAGCCCAAAUGAAUCAAACUCUCCUUGAGACUUGCAAAGAAGAGAUUAAUGAUCUCUUGGCUAAAAAGCUCAUCCAUGAAAUUAGUUUAAUGAUUUAGGAUUUACUUGGGAAAAGGUUUAGUUGUUAUGGUUGUUGUUGGUUGAAUGAUUUAGGAAAUGGCUUGAGUUUCAAGACAUUUUUUGUUGAUAGGUAGGGAGGGGAAGUAAAUAUUAGCCAGGAGAUCCCCUAGUGAGUGUGGGCUUUUUGUUCACCAUAGCUCACCAACUGCACUAGGAAAUCAUCGUUAUAUUUUCUUAAAUAUGAACAUGAUACGUGAAGCCCAGGUUUUUAGACUGAAUAAGUAAUCUUUUCAUAAUUUUUAAGAUGAUUAAAAAAUAUUUAAUUUAGUUAUUAUUUCAUGAAAGUUUCUAUUUUAAAUCUUAUGCGGGUCCAUUAUCGGAGUAUUUUGUCCAAGAGAGAUCUUAAAUUGCAAAAUCUUAAGCUAGCUUUCAAAUAUGAUACUCUAAAGAAAUUCGGAUUUAUUAAUUUGGACUAGAUCUAACCCGGCUCAAUUUGAACCUCUACCGUCGUUAGCGGUCCCAGCAGGUUUGGGGUUUGGAAGAAACGACCAAGGAUGUCCCUGCAGUUUUGAAAAGACCAAGUGGCUUCGAAUUUGUACAUGAACAAGUUUCCCAAUGGCUGGAUAACGAGGACAAAUUGGUAAAUGUCACAUUAUAUCACUUUUCACUGGCUUGAACACCCUUGAAACCCUGCACAUUGGCUUCAUUCCCACUACGACUCGUCAAUCGUCAUUUCAGAAUCGACCCAGAAAUCAUGGAGGAAAGAAGCUAUUCUCUCUCGCUCUCUUCUCUUCUCCCUCACACUAUGCCGCUCCGGUAUCUUCCCUUCUCUAUUUCACUAUCUCUCACUCUCUAUAUAUCUCCCGCCCAACGCAAGGUCUGCAUUAGGGAAGGGGCAAGUCAUCUUCCAUAGAGCUCCUCCAUCGCUGCGUCUUGAAGAUCCUUCUCAGAUGGCCCCAAACUAAUGCCUGAAGCCUCUCAAUUUUCAAACACAUCAUGGAUCGCCUGAAGCUUCUCAUCUCUUCCCUUCGAUGGUGGUUUCUUCUAAUCUUCAAGCGCAAGGUCCUCUCAGUUGCAGCCUCGUUAGAGGCCAGGUUUUGAUGAGGUUGUUAGGAACCUCACUCGAUCCUAGUUUCAGCCUCGUUAGAGGCCAGGUUUAUGAGUUCUUGAAUUUCUCAAACUUAACCUAGUUCUCUAGCCUCUGAAGAUUUGCCUGCUACAAGAUUCCAAUCGCUGCUGUCACGGAUUGGUCUUCAAUCUGCAUGAUUUGCACAUCUUUCCUAUGGUCCUUGGUGAGGUGUAAAGGCCAUAACUGCCCUCAUGAAGGGAGGAUGCAAAUGAGGUCAUACAAGUGGAAGUUUAGGGAGGAGUUUGAGGGGGCAGUGCUUGAGAGACACUCAGCACCAGGGGUUGCAUAUGAUAGUGAAAAGAAUACGCCUGCUGAUGUGGAGACAGAAGCAGAGGCGAGAGAGACAUUUCAUGCUAAGGCAGCCAACAAAAUUGCACAUUGGCAGGAGCAGGAUAAAGGCAGGGAGUUCAAGGAGCUGGUUCUUCAAGCAUACUAUGACAUGGCCAUCUUUGUGAGAUAGAGGAAUGGUUCCGUUGGCGGCAACAAUCUUCUAGAGGUUUUGAGCCUCCUCGAAAAUCUAUGUGGUAUUGACAUUGGUGUACUGUUAAAUGGUUAUUCUUCUUCUUCAUUCUUAAUACACAUUUCAAUUUCUUUUA